AUUGAACGCUGGCGGCAGGCCUAACACAUGCAAGUCGAGCGAGCGGCGGACGGGUGAGUAAUGUCUGGGAAUCUGCCUGAUGGAGGGGGAUAACUACUGGAAACGGUAGCUAAUACCGCAUACCAUCAGAUGUGCCCAGGUGGGAUUAGAUAGUUGGUGGGGUAAAGGCUCACCUAGGCGACGCUCCCUAGCUGGUCUGAGAGGAUGACCAGCCACACUGGAACUGAGACACGGCCCAUACUCCUACGGGAGGCAGCAGUGGGGAAUAUUGGACAAUGGGCGAAAGCCUGAUGCAGCCAUGCCGCGUGUGUGAAGAAGGUCUUCGGGUUGUAAAGUACUUUAGGUUGGGAGGCGUUACCUACAGAAGAAGCACCGGCUAACUCCGUGCCAGCAGCCGCGGUAAUAC
rnacentral:rRNA from 1 species